UACGUAGGCAGCAAGCGUUGUUCGGAGUUACUGGGCGUAAAGGGUGCGUAGGCGGCUUUUUAAGUUUGGUGUGAAAUCUCCCGGCUCAACUGGGAGGGUGCGCCGAAUACUGAGAGGCUAGAGUGUGGGAGAGGAAAGUGGAAUUCCUGGUGUAGCGGUGAAAUGCGUAGAUAUCAGGAAGAACACCCGUGGCGAAGGCGGUUCUCUGGGACGGUACUGACGCUGAGACGCGAAAGCGUGGGGAGCGAACAGG
rnacentral:rRNA from 1 species